rnacentral:lncRNA from 1 species
UAGGCUACACGUCUGCUGCCGGCUGCUACUACGAACACGCACGCACAUAACUCGCCCAGCUACUGCACCGCACGCACUGUUGCCGACCUACUGACAGGGAAGAAAACCGAAGCAUCACGGCGACUCCGGCCGACCCAAGGAGGAAGAAGCACAGGGGCGACGUGCAGCCUCACCUUGGGGCGAAGAGGGGGCGCCGAACCGACGGAGAGGAAGCCGGACCGGGGAAGGAGACGCUGAAGAAGUUCCUCCGCCGUAGACCGAAGCAGGGAAGGAGACACCCGGUUCGCCCCGUUGACGAGGACGAGCUCGACGGGGGGGGGGGGGUCGCUCCUCGGGAUCCUAACGCCGGGAAUGGGACGCGGGGAGCCGCCCCGAGCCCCCGGACAUGGCGGCCGUGCUGCCCGACGAUGCACGCGGGGGUAGGCGCCGGCGACUCUCUCUUCUCUGCUACUUCUACAGAAACUUACCAGGGGAAGAAAAGAGAGAAGGGGGAAGGUGGCGGCACUGGGGAGAAGGAGAGGGAACCCU